ACCCUUGUAAUAACUUGGCGUUUAACCCGUAUUACGGCGACUUAGACAUGGCAGGUUGAGGACUGAGGUUAGGAGCCCGUCGCCGGGACGAGGUCAAAAUUUUGCCUCCCGAUCCCGUUUGGGCGCCUCGAAGGCGAUACCCCAUCGCUCUGCCUUCACGUCCCAAGUUUUAUCUUUUCAGCAGGCGAAAAAGAUAGAUAGGUUGUGAGGAGUUCAUUAACGUGGACAAGAGACAGGUUUAAGUUUUUUUUCAUGUAACCAGCGGAUGAUAACCCGUUCCCGGCUCGAGAAUUUAUCCCGGACAACCAUAUUAAAAUCCCAUCGAGCUUCUCCAUCGUGUCCGAGAUGGCAAGCGUGCUGUCCAGGCGCCUGGGGAAGCGCUCCCUGCUCGGCACCCGCGUCUCUGCCCCCAGCUCCCUGGCGGACGGGGUGCUCGUGACCACCCAGCUCCCCGGCUUGCCGGCCGAUCUCAGCCGAGUGUCUUCCCACGCAGCUCCGCGGGAGGACGGACCGUGCAAGGAGCGAGCGGAGGAGAGCAGCCGGGCGUCGCGCUUCCCGAGCCCCAACCGGCCACAGCUCCACGCGGGACAGCAAUGUAGUUUCUCCCACCUGAGAUGGUCUCGCGUGCUCCCUUGGUCCCAGAACACAGCGCGUUUGCGCUCUGUCCAUCCCGUAUUGACUUCUUCGUGCAACGCCCGCCGCCUUUCCAGAAAGAGAUGCUCUUGUUCCUAUAAAUAGCUGGAGACACAUGAAGCAUAUUUCGGCACGGAUACAUUUCCAUUAACAGAAAUAGACUCAUGGAUGCGUCCAUCAAGAGAAACUGAGACACUCUAUGAAAGAGAAGGAGGUGAGGCUUGGACGCCUCCUCCUCUCUGAAAGAGCAGCGAAUGGAGAAGUCGAGGGGUGCUUCGCCCAGGAAACCGCCAUUCCCCUGUCCCCCUCGGGCUUUCAUGUAAUCCUUUGAUCUACGUGCUGUUCUGCAAAGUCUGCGGUAAUUGGGGGAGCCCUUGCCCCGCGAUGUCACGAAGACCAAGCAAAAUCAGGUCCCAAAACCAAAUAGACAAAUUCAUUGGAGAAAAGUCCAUCCAAAGUCGUCGUGCUUGGAGAUGCGGCUAACGUCUGGCCCAGGAAAUUCUUACGCUUCGGACUGCCAGCGUCCGGGAGCGUGUACCAGGGAAGGACAACCGCUGCCAGCGGCAGGAUUCAGGUGUGGAUGAGCCGAGGCAGCCGCUCCGGUUUUGAAGUACAAACUUUUGGGGACGGGCUCUGCCUUUGCGCUGAAGCCUCCUUCAGUCCCUUCGCCGCCACAGGAUGGAGCAAGGACACGGCGCAGCGUUCCCCUGCUGUAAGGGCCGGCCGGUCGCUCGCCGGCUGGAGCAUCCUCCCGCUGAUGGAAAAACACCGUUCCGAAGGGAGCCAGGGAAAAGGGAGCCAGUUCCUCAGCUGACCGGUCGUCUUCCCCAGCUUGAAAAGCGAACCUUGUUUUCUUAACCCUCUCGAACGCCCAAACUCAGCGCUCCCUCCCUCUUCCAGGAGUGAAGUUUGCACUCUCUGCCUCUCUUCGGGGCUCAUGCACCUGCUCCUUGGCCUCCAGGCCCUUCGGGAGCCCCCACGCCGUUACGUUAGUCAUCUGGCACAACGUCCUGUUGCGGCAGCGUUGCAUCAGGUCCGGGGUUUCCGUGAGGAGCUGCAGGAAGAGGAGGGGGGAAUGCUGCGGUGGGAGGCGAGGCUGAAGACG
ensembl:lncRNA